UAAUGAAAAUGGCGAUACCGGUCUUUCCGGCAUGAACACUCGCGACACGAUGCCAAGUGUAUUCUGUUGAGUGAUUUUUAUGCGUAUUUAAUUCAACAACGAUUAUAAUGGACGACGUUGUAGAGUUGGAUGAUUGCGAUCAUAAAGAAAAAAGAGCGCAUUUCCAAGCGCCGGCAAUUCAACAUAAUCCUGACGGCUGGGGCCCAUGUGAAUUGCCAGAUCAAUUUAAAGAUAUUCCUUAUCAACCAUUUUCCAAAGGCGACAGGCUAGGAAAAAUCUGCGAUUGGACUGCACCAGCAUUCCAAGAUAAGAAAUUUCCAAACAAAUAUACUUCUCAAUUUGGCUCAGGAAGUCAAUAUGCUUACUAUCAUGAUGAAGAUGAAAGCACUUUCCAUCUUGUGGAUACUACUAGAGUGCAGAAGCCGCCUUAUCAACGUGGCAGGUUCAGGCACAACCAGCGUAAUUUGCGUGGACGUGGAGGCCAGCGUGGUGCUUUGAGUCAAAUGCAACAGCUAGGUAAAUUGAAGCUACGCGAGCGCGAACGCAAAGGACAAACAAAACGUUGGGGUAGGCAGCAGGGAUUAAGAAAUCACAAGAAUCAACCACCCAUUAAGAUUCGAGAUGCUUCUGUCACCGUACGACCUGAUUGGGUGACUAUAGAAGAGAUGGAUUUCCCUAGAUUAGCUAAACUAUCAUUACCCAGCGUUAAAGACGGAGAAGAUAUACUCUGUUGUGGAUCUCUAGAGUAUUACGAUAAAACUUAUGACAGAGUAAAUGUCAAAAAUGAGAAACCAUUGCAAAGAAUCGACCGUAUCUUCCAUACCGUUACUACUACCGAUGAUCCUAUUAUCCGUAAACUAUCGAAAACCGAGGGCAACGUCUAUGCCACUGAUGCCAUACUCGCUACUAUUAUGUGCUGCACUCGUAGUAAUUAUUCAUGGGAUAUAGUGAUUGAAAAAAUCGGAGACAAGCUUUUCUUUGAUAAACGAGAUAAUACAGAAUUCGACCUUUUAACUGUAAACGAAACUAGCGUGGAACCACCGCAGGAUGACGGGAAUUCAUUAAAUUCUCCAAGAAACUUGGCAUUAGAGGCCACAUUUAUUAAUCAUAAUUUCUCGCAGCAAGUGCUUAAAUCCAAUGAACCACGUCACAAAUUUGAUGAAGGAAAUCCUUUUAUCUCCGAAGAAGAAGAGAGUGAUGUAGCCAGCGUUGCUUAUCGCUAUCGUAAAUGGGAUCUUAAUAAUGGUAUCGUCUUAGUUGCUCGAUGUGAACACGAUGCCGUAAUGCAAGGUCCAAAUAACGAAACACAAUUUCUAACUAUUAAAGCAUUGAACGAAUGGGAUUCUAAACUUGCAAAUGGUGUUGAAUGGCGCCAAAAGUUGGAUACCCAACGUGGUGCAGUAUUAGCUAAUGAACUUAGAAAUAAUGCUUGCAAAUUAGCCAAGUGGACUGUUCAAGCAAUAUUAGCUGGAUCGGAUCAAUUGAAAUUUGGAUACGUUUCACGUGCUAUCGUACGUGAUUCUAGCAAACAUGUAAUUCUUGGUACUCAACAAUAUAAGCCCAAUGAAUUUGCCACUCAAAUUAAUUUGAAUAUGGAUAAUGCUUGGGGUAUACUGAGAUGUAUUAUUGACAUUUGUAUGAAGCAAAAGGAUGGAAAAUAUUUGAUUAUGAAGGAUCCUAAUAAGCCUAUGAUUCGUUUGUACGAUAUACCUGACAAUACUUUUGAGAGCGAAGGAGAAGAAGAUGAAGAUGAAGAUGAACCUACGAACGACGCAUUCCAAAGUUAACAGAAGAGAACAGCGAUCGUCCGAGGAACCUUAUAUAUCGUGAAUCAUUUCGUCAACCAGAUACAAGUGCGCGCCUAUUAAACGGCGUGUUUUUAUUCGAAUCUUCGAAGUAAUUUAUAUCGAAUGAUCAAAUUCCAUCUUUGUUGUCAGGACAAAAGGAUCCUCAUAAAAGUUUAUGUCGAUGAUUUGUUUACAUCCAUACAUUUAAUAAUAUAUGUGAUUUUACGUAUAACCGCUUCCACCAUCGCGUCAGUAAUUUCAUGGUACAAAACUAAUCUAACCGUCGUACUGGUUACAGGUAAACAUUUUAUUAUUAUUUUAUCAUCCUCCUCAUCUUCUUGAACUUGCUGAAGUCUUUCUGCAAAAUUUAUUGAAGUAAUAAAUUUCGAAUGUAUAUUUAUAAAAACUA